rnacentral:rRNA from 1 species
GACGAACGCUGGCGGCGUGCUUAACACAUGCAAGUCGAACGGAAAGGCCCUGCUUUUGUGGGGUGCUCGAGUGGCGAACGGGUGAGUAACACGUGAGUAACCUGCCCUUGACUUUGGGAUAACUUCAGGAAGCUGGGGCUAAUACCGGAUAGGAGCUCCUGCUGCAUGGUGGGGGUUGGAACGUUUCGGCGGGUGGGGAUGGACUCGCGGCUUAUCAGCUUGUUGGUGGGGUAGUGGCUUACCAAGGCUUUGACGGGUAGCCGGCCUGAGAGGGUGACCGGCCACCUUGGUACUGAGAUACGGCCCAGACUCCAACGGGAGGCAGCAGUGGGGAAUAUGGUACAAUGGGCGGAAGCCUGAUGCAGCAACGCCGCGUGUGGGAUGACGGCCUUCGGGUUGUAAACCGCAUUCGCCUGUGACGAAGCGUGAGUGACGGUAAUGGGUAAAGAAGCACCGGCUAACUACGUG